GCUAGGAAUAUUGCGCAAUGGGCGAAAGCCUGACGCAGCGACGCCGCACGGGGGAUGAAGGCCUUCGGGUCGUAAACUCCUGAAAAUAGGACCGGCUAACUACGUGCCAGCAGCAGCGGUCAUACGUAGGGUCCAAACGUUACCCGGAUUUACUGGGCGUAAAGAGUUCGAAGGCGGUAUUAUAAGUCAGUAGUCAAAGGUCCUGGCCCAACCAGGAUAUCGCUAUUGAUACUGUAUUACUAAGAAGCAUCUAGGGGAUAGCAGAACUUAUGGUGUAGUGGUGAAAUGCGUUGAUAUCAUAAGGAAUACCAAGGGAGAAGUCAGCUAUCUGGGGAUGUCUUGACGCUCAAGAACGAAAGCGUGGGGAGCAAAACGGAUUAGAAACCCCUGUAGUCC
rnacentral:rRNA from 1 species